AUGCAAGUCGAGGGGUAGUAAGUGCUUGCAUUUAUGAGACCGGCGCACGGGUGCGUAACGCGUAUACAAUCUACCUUGUUCAAAGGGAUAGCCCAGAGAAAUUUGGAUUAAUACCUUAUAGUAUUAUAAGAUGGCAUCAUUUAAUAAUUAAAGAUUUAUCGGAACAAGAUGAGUAUGCGUCCCAUUAGCUAGUUGGUAUGGUAACGGCAUACCAAGGCAAUGAUGGGUAGGGGUCCUGAGAGGGAGAUCCCCCACACUGGUACUGAGACACGGACCAGACUCCUACGGGAGGCAGCAGUGAGGAAUAUUGGACAAUGGGCGCAAGCCUGAUCCAGCCAUGCCGCGUGCAGGAAGACGGUCCUAUGGAUUGUAAACUGCUUUUAUACAGGAAGAAACACCUCUACGUGUAGAGACUUGACGGUACUGUAAGAAUAAGGAUCGGCUAACUCCG
rnacentral:rRNA from 1 species